GUUAUUGCAAUGCUCUUUUCCUAGAAGAGAGAGCUACCAAAAUGGGCAUUGUUUUGAAAUACAGCCAACACUAUCCUAAUAUAGCACUCCACCCCUGGGGGUUCAGUUUAUGACAAUGGAAUGCCACAAUAACUAGUCACAAAGGAAUUGAGGUCAUAGUGCAAUGGGGAGCAGGUUCAACCCUAAGCCAGGAUGCUUGUUUUUGAUUUCUGGCCCUGAAUUAAUAGCUUCCAUUACUCUGGACAGGUAAUGAAGGCCAUGACAGUAUAGGCAUCUCAUAAAUAACAGUGUGACUGAGCAAUUCAGUCUAGGUUCCUAAUACUUCACGAUAGCUUCAUUAAGGCAGGUGGUCAAAAUACAGCUGGAAAAAAGAACGUCUAUCCACUGAGUUCAGUUUAGGCCAUACAGACUAGGCUUUUCCUCAUUCUUGCCUGAGUUUCUCCAACUACAGCAAAAUGUUGGUGCCGAUUCAGCUGGCUACCCCACUUGGCUACAGAGUACUAAAGAAGAGACUGAACUUGAUCCUGCUGCCCUUGCAGACACAACACUUCCAUUGACUCUAGAGAAGACUUAAGUGCAUGAAAGGAUUCCAGGAUCAAAAGGGACACACCAUGUUUAUAAGCCUCAGGCCCUGUAAAACCUGGAUUUGCUCUGCUCCAUACCUUCACUCUCAGGUGGGUGUAUUCAGUAGCUGCUGGGGGUUCAUGUGUAGAGGGAAGCAGCAUGCUGUAGUGAAAGGAGAAAACCUGAUCCUGCCAUCUACAUGCUGUGUGGUUUCAGCAAGUUUCUUAGCCUCUCUGAACUUUAGUUUCCUCAGCCCUAAAAUUUGGAUGAUCCUACUUCACAGAAUUAUUGUAAGACCUAAAGGAACACUUAGCAUAGUGCCGGGCAUAUGAUCAGCACUCAAUAUUACUUCCCUUUUCCCCUCCCUCUCUCUUGAAUGGUUCACAGGUUUACCUUAGGUCAGGGACCCAGGGGAGGAAAUAUUUUAUCUUUUGAAAAUGAAUUUUGAUAAAAGGGUAUUAAAAAGAGAGCUGGGGUUUCCCCUGUGACGCUUGUCUUUAACAAGCCCUAAACAAGAUGAAUCACGAUGGGAUUUUCUAUAAAGCAAAGAAUCAAGUGCUUUCAUCAAUUGUGUAGAGCAUUGCGCCAAAAGUUCCAAUUCUCCCCCCCCCCGGCCCUGCCCCACAUACCCCUACACAUACAAUGACAUGCAUUUGGUAUGGCUCAAGGAUUAGAUAAUUCUGAAUUAAUGAAUUUUUUUCUUCAUCUGUCAAUCAAAAAAUGUUGAUAAGCAAAGCCCCAAGCCGUGGGCUAUAUUUUCAUGAACCUCAGGAAUCUGGGAACAGGGGCUGGCCAUUUGUGUGCUGUCCUCAUGAGCAAACAGCUUUUUGUGAGGCAUACCCUGGAACAAAUAGUCCAACCUUGCUGAUGGAUUUGCUUCAGUCCCAUGCAGGCAGACAUAGUGUGGUGGGGGUUGGGAAGUGGAAACACGAAAUUCACUAAAUACUGAAUUAGGGUCUCUCAGGGUCUGAGUUAGUCCACAGAGCCAACGGGGCUAACGAGGCUAGACUAUGAACUCUUCUUCAAGGGAGAGAUCCAAGAAUACUGUUUUUUUUUUUCCUUUCAGAUCCUACCAGGGCUAGUAUAUAGCAGGUGUUCAUAAGUAUCUAUCGAAUUGAUUUAGAGUCUAUCUACAUACCAUAG
rnacentral:lncRNA from 9 species